rnacentral:lncRNA from 1 species
UUCGGAGGGGGACGAAGGGCCGGAAACUAGGGUUCGGCGAAAACAAAGAAGAAAGAAAGAAAGACAGAGAGAGAAGGAGAGGGAAAGGUCGGAAGGAGGAAGAGGCCGUAGAUCCGGCCGGAGGAGAAGAAGAAGGCCGAAGGACCGGCCGGAGCAACCGAGGUCGUCGGUAGAGACGAAGGAGAGAAGAGGGAGAGAGAGAGCGGCCGGAAGAGAGAGAGGGGAGCCGGGAAACGAAGAGGCGAAGCCUCUGGAAGGGGGGGAAAACCCGGAUAGCGGGUUCGCGGGUCGGAUCCGCAUCCGAACCCGCAACCCGUUAAGCCUAAAAAUUGAAAUGGGUUAAGUAAACCCAAUUAAACCGGACCCAAUCUAGUUGGGUGAACCCGGAUGAGGGAUUGAGUGGGAUCUGAACCCAAUUGAACCUGAACCCGAGCCCAAUUUAAUUGGGCUAAGUCUGGACGAGCCCAAAUUACAAAUUGGGUCAAAUCCGAACCAAAUUAGGCCCAAAUUGAUUUGGGUCCGAACCCAGUUGAGUGGAGUUAAUUCCAGCAGACCCAAUUAAACUUGGGAUUAAGCCUAAUGACCAAUUAGAAGGCCAAUUAAACCAUAUGGACCCAAUCAAGGCUCCAAUAUGAACACAUUAGACUUGGGCUAAAUUUCGGGUAGGAUCCAAACAAGUAAAAAGGAAAUAAUAUGCUCAUUAUAAUGUGAUUUUAGGUGACUCAGGAUCCGUCACCAGGACGUAAGAAACUUGGGAGAAAACGAAUCACU